rnacentral:rRNA from 1 species
GACGAACGCUGGCGGCGUGCUUAACACAUGCAAGUCGAACGGUGAAGCGCCUUCCUUUUUGGUGGGUGUGGAUGAGUGGCGAACGGGUGAGUAACACGUGAGUAACCUGCCCCCUUCUUCUGGAUAACCGCAUGAAAGUGUGGCUAAUACGGGAUAUUCUGGGUCUGUCGCAUGAUGGGUCUGGGAAAGAUAUUGUUUCGGUGGGGGAUGGGCUCGCGGCCUAUCAGCUUGUUGGUGGGGUGAUGGCCUACCAAGGCGGUGACGGGUAGCCGGCCUGGGAGGGUGGACGGUCACACUGGGACUGAGACACGGCCCAGACUCCUACGGGAGGCAGCAGUGGGGAAUAUUGCACAAUGGGCGCAAGCCUGAUGCAGCGACGCCGCGGGAGGGAUGGAGGCCUUCGGGUUGUGAACCUCUUUCGCCAGUGAAGCAGGCCUGCCUCGUUUGUGGGUGGGUUGACGGUAGCUGGAGAAGAAGCGCCGGCUAACUACGUG